rnacentral:rRNA from 1 species
GACGAACGCUGGCGGCGUGCCUAAUACACGCAAGUAGAACGCACAGUUUAUACCGUAGCUUGCUACACCAUAGACUGUGAGUUGCGAACGGGUGAGUAACGCGUAGGUAACCUGCCUGGUAGCGGGGGAUAACUAUUGGAAACGAUAGCUAAUACCGCAUAAUAUUAAUUAUUGCAUGAUAAUUAAUUGAAAGGUGCAAUUGCACCACUACCAGAUGGACCUGCGUUGUAUUAGCUAGUAGGUGAGGUAACGGCUCACCUAGGCGACGAUACAUAGCCGACCUGAGAGGGUGAUCGGCCACACUGGGACUGAGACACGGCCCAGACUCCUACGGGAGGCAGCAGUAGGGAAUCUUCGGCAAUGGACGAAAGUCUGACCGAGCAACGCCGCGUGAGUGAAGAAGGUUUUCGGAUCGUAAAGCUCUGUUGUAAGAGAAGAACGGGUGUGAGAGUGGAAAGUUCACACUGUGACGGUAUCUUACCAGAAAGGGACGGCUAACUACGUG